rnacentral:tRNA from 1 species
GGGUCGGUACUCAAGUGGCCAACGAGGUCGCGCUGUAAACGCGAUGGCUUACGCCUACGGGGGUUCGAAUCCCUCCCGGCCCA